GCUAGAAUGUCAGCCCCAUCAAGUGAAGAAGUUUCUUUUGUUCACUGCUGAGCCCCUAGCACCCAGAACAGUGCUUCCCACAUAGAAGAAGGUGCUGAGAAAUCGUCGAAGAGCAGAUGUGUGAGCGUACAAAGGGAUGAGCAAAUGAUGCUCUUGACCUCUAUGUAUCUUCUCUUCCUAGGGCGCCAGCCUGUUGUCAGCAGAAGUUUCACCAUCUCAGGCUCCUUGUUGGUGUUUCUUAUCAUAUUCACAGUUCUGGGCUUCACCCACUUCCUUAUGGUCCUAAUCCGUGCCCUGUUCAGACAUUACUCUACCAGGGCAAAUUGGUCUAUAUGACUGUCUGCCUCAGACCUGGAGAAUAAAACCGGACAAGCAAGGAGACCCUGUGGGACCAUUAGAGAGGCUGCAAAGAUGCCCCAUCUCAGCAUCCCCAGUGACAGAGAGAUGGAACCACAGCGCAUGUCGGGUGAAUGUCAUGGUUAGAAACUGCUGGGCAACGAGACUCACUGGUGUGCGGAAUGUUCACAACUUGAUGCCGAGUUAGAAACGCACAAUACAGACCUGCAUCUGAUAAGACCAUGUUGUGAAAAGUAGAGAUUAGUUAAUUGAUAUAGGUACAAUAUUACAGUAUGUGUACACACACACACACACACACACACACACACAUAUGCUAUAUAUAUCCAGUGAGAUGGUUGGAUGGCAUCGUCGACUCAAUGGACAUGAGUUUGCACAAACUCCGAG